rnacentral:rRNA from 1 species
AAAUUGAAGAGUUUGAUCAUGGCUCAGAUUGAACGCUGGCGGCAGGCCUAACACAUGCAAGUCGAACGGUAACAGGAAUCAGCUUGCUGAUUCGCUGACGAGUGGCGGACGGGUGAGUAAUGUCUGGGAAACUGCCCGAUGGAGGGGGAUAACUACUGGAAACGGUAGCUAAUACCGCAUAACGUCGCAAGACCAAAGAGGGGGACCUUCGGGCCUCUUGCCAUCGGAUGUGCCCAGAUGGGAUUAGCUAGUAGGUGGGGUAAAGGCUCACCUAGGCGACGAUCCCUAGCUGGUCUGAGAGGAUGACCAGCCACACUGGAACUGAGACACGGUCCAGACUCCUACGGGAGGCAGCAGUGGGGAAUAUUGCACAAUGGGCGCAAGCCUGAUGCAGCCAUGCCGCGUGUAUGAAGAAGGCCUUCGGGUUGUAAAGUACUUUCAGCGGGGAGGAAGGGAGUAAAGUUAAUACCUUUGCUCAUUGACGUUACCCGCAGAAGAAGCACCGGCUAACUCCGUGCCAGCAGCCGCGGUAAUACGGAGGGUGCAAGCGUUAAUCGGAAUUACUGGGCGUAAAGCGCACGCAGGCGGUUUGUUAAGUCAGAUGUGAAAUCCCCGGGCUCAACCUGGGAACU